rnacentral:sRNA from 1 species
CUUUUUUCUUUUUUGUAAGUUCAUCCACAGCCUUCCUUUUUCCUUGAGACUUUUUCUUUUCUGAGGCUAUGAAUUUUGAACACUUUUCUUUGUCUUCUGCAAUUUAAUUUGAAACAAUUUAAUACGAAUCUGGUUAGGGCAAUACUGUAUACAAAUUUAUAUAAACUACUGUGGCAUCAUCAUUUUUUUGUUUUGAUCAAUGUUCAUGGGGAAUCAAAAUUUGAGAGGUUCAUGGGGGAAGUAAUUUUGGGUAACUUGCAUAUUUCAUUUAGGUAAAUAAAUCAGCUGUGUCGAAUGUAUGCACAUUUCAAUGUUCAUGGGGACUUAAAUUCAUGGGUAACGGCUACCAAGGAAAUCCACAAACAUUGAUCCCCCAUAAACAAUUUUGAUUCCACAGUAAUUUCAUUUAAGGUCUGCAUGCAUGCCAUGCAUGCACAUAGGUUGUUUGGUUAAUGGGGUUCAAUUUAUUGAGAAAAAAGCUACAUAUUUGCAAGUAAUCUGAAAUCUUGAGUACACACAACAUACCAGAUGCAAACAAAAUUUUCCCUUCAUAGUUCACACCAUCCCUCCAAACAGCAGAGCAGGAGUCGCCAACCUUAAAGGUUCUUUCUUCCCCUGUGUGACCAUCCUCGUCCUCUAUAGCGUCUGCUGAUAUGGGGUCACUUAAUUGGCUGUCCAUAGUAAACUGGACAACAUACCAAACUAAAAUUGAAAACCAUACAAAAUAUGUAUUUUUCACAGUAUUUAACUGGUUUAUAUUUUGACAUUGUCAAGAGGUAUUCCUCGUGUUCAAGGCAAUGGGGUUACCGGUUCUUCGAUCAUCAUGUGCAAAGUCACAAAGACAGAUUUUUUCUACUCUAAUCAUUAUAUACUUACUUAUUGCGCCUUCUAGAAAUCUUCCAGGAAGUCGGACUCUUCUUCUUCCUGACAUGUUACGGAAUCACUUUAUAGUAGCUGGGAGAAUUAUUACCGCAGACACUAGUACGUACGUUCACAAUAUGCCGGUCUCGAAUUCUCAAUACAAUAUUUGCGCCAAGAUCGUUGAUUGGUCGAGCUGUUAUCACCAAACACGAAAUGGUAGUUAACAAAACGAAAUCAAUCUUCAAAAUCCUUUUUAGUUUGCAUAUAAUACAGGCUAAAUAAUAAAAUUAUGUUUACAGAAUUCACUUCAAUUUUUUAAUCAAUAAAAAGUGCUUCAAUUAUCUAAAAUAGACAAAUUUAAACAUUCGGUAUUUGUUUUCGAAUCACAAAUAUCAAAAUUACCCAUCAGCCUUUUAUUUAUUUACAUCCGGUUUAACAAGCAUGGCUAACAAGGAAAACAACGGGACUCCUAUUUUUGCAGAUAAUGACGAUAAUGUAUGUACAGAUGAGGUAUGCAUUGAAGAUGUACAUGAAGAGGAGAUUGAAUAUCAGUCUGAUAAUUACAUGUACUCUACAAAUGAGCAUGAUGAGGAGAAACAAGUCCCCACACCAAAAAAGCAAAAAAAAAUUGACAAUCUUGGAAGAGUUCGGCCCAGUUCAUAUGCUAAAAGAGAUGCAAGAAAACCAAAAUCAACAAAGAAACAGCCCCCUGAACUGGAAAGUUCUGAAACAGUCUCUUUACCAGCUACAGACUCUCACUCAAGUAUUCAAUUCAACACAGACUCUGAAAAACAUGAGGACUGUCCUUCCAAUCCACAAUCACCCAUAAGAAAAGAGUUUUAUGAAAUUGUUACGGAAUUAAUGGAGAACAGUGUUGUUACAGAAAUCUGUGAAGGGGAUGAUUUUUCAUUUGAAAACUUGAUUCCAGAUAAUGAAAUUCACGUUAUUGAGGACAAUAAUGAAGAUCCUUUAAUGGGACAAGAUGAAGAAAAUCAGGCCAGUGACUCAGGGGAAACUUUCCCAAAAGAUACCCCAAUUUAUCCAGUGCAUGACAAGUGUGAAAGAAAAUGACACCAGUUGCCCUUCUAAAGACUGUGGAAUACAAUUAGGAGUUAAAAACAAAGACUAUUUCAUCGAAUUACCAUUGGAAGAACAGUUAAAGAAAAUAAUGAAGAGGCCUGGAAUUUUGAAUUUAAUUAAAUCAAGAUUUAACAGAAAAAAGAGGCAGUUCAAUGGAAUUGAAGACAUAUAUGAUGGUGCUGUAUACAAAAGGUUUUCUGAAUUUGGAGGUCCCUUAUCUUCAGAAAACCCUACAAAUGUAUCAUUUACAUGGAACACUGAUGGAAUUCCUGUUUUCAAAAGUUCAAAGUUUUCCCUUUGGCCCCUCUAUCUAGUCAUUAAUGAACUUCCAUUUAAACAGAGAUUUUUGAAAGAAAAUAUGAUCCUUUGCGGACUUUGGUUUGGUGAGUCAAAGCCAUUUAUGAGUAUUUUUACAAAACCGCUUAUGAAAUCUCUCAAAAUUUUAGAAAGUAAUGGAAUUUACUAUGAAGUGGACAACGAGAAGAUUUGCACUAAAGGCUUUCUAAUCUGUGGAACAGCUGAUCUACCAGCCAAAAGUAUAGUUUUAAAUUGUAACCAAUUUAACGGCCAGUUUAGUUGUAUGUCGUGCUUACAUCCAGGGGAAACGUAUAGAACACAAAAAGGCGGAAGCGUUCACACCUUUCCAUAUGAUGCAUCUAUGCCUAAACAUGAAGAGAGAACAACUGAAAAUUGCCUGAGAGAUGCAGUUCUGGCAACAGAAAACAGAAAAACAGUCAAUGGAAUAAAAGGACCCUCAUUUUUGAUGACUCUAAAGUCAUAUGAUUUUGUGAAGUCAACCUCAAUAGAUUACAUGCAUGGCGUACUUCUAGGAAUAGGUAAACUUUUAAUAAAUCUGUGGAUCAGCAGCACUCACAGUAAAGAAAUUUUCUCAAUAUCUAACUAUGUUGAAGUUAUAGAUCAAAGACUUCUGCAAAUUAGACCACCAUCUAUUAUCACAAGAGUUCCGAGAUCAUUGUCUGACCAUUUUAAAUAUUGGAAGGCCUCAGAAUUGAGGUCUUGGUUGUUUUUUUAUUCAUUACCUAUUCUACAUGAUAUUUUACCUGGGAAAUACUUGUUGCAUUUUGCUUGUUUCGUUGAAGGUAUUUUUUUAUUGUGUACAGAUAGUGUAACCUCUACAGACAUAGAGAAGAGUUCUAAGCUAUUGUCUUAUUUUGUGCACAUGUUUCCUUCCUUGUAUGGGGAAAGAUACAUUACUUUAAAUAUGCAUUCACUGCUGCAUUUACCACAAUGUGUAACCGAAUUAGGCCCUCUUUGGGUCUAUUCGUGCUUUCCAUUUGAAAAUAUUAAUGGUACGUUGAUGGAACUAUUCCAUGGUACGCAAAAUGUUGAAUUACAAAUUAUGUGUGGUUUAAAUGUACUUCAGAAUAUGACAAGUAUGAUUGAAGAAUUUAAUGAUCAGAGACUUAUAGAAUUUGCAAACAAACUUACUCAUAAGCGCCAUUGUAUUAAAUCUGUAGUAGGGACAUCGUCAGGAUCUUUUCCUAUUGGCAUGAGUAAAACUGCUAUUUUGACAGAUGAUAUAUACAGCAAAAUUAUUAAAGAAUGCAAAUUCAAACCAGUAAAGCUAUUAACUUAUAAAAGAAUAUCACUAAGAGGAAGAAUAAUACAUUCAAUGGAAUACACCAGGGUUUAUAUGAGAAAUACAUUUACUGUAAGUUAUUUUGACAUGGUAGAUAAAAGGAUACACUAUGGUCAAAUAGAGAGUUAUGUAUUGGCAAAAGCUUGCGAUUGUAUUGAAGACUUGUGUCUAUGUAAUUCAGAAUUGUUUGCCAUUGUUCAUGAAUUAAAAUGUAAAGAACAAUCAAUUAUUGAGGACAACUUCUUACAGGCUGAUGUAUCGCAUAUCAAAUUGGCAAUGAAAACAGAUAUUAUUCAAGUUGUAGAUGUGUCAAAAAUUUUGAAUGUUGUUGUAUAUUUGAGUAUGACAGACAAAUUGAACAAAGAGAAAAUGUUUCUUUGCAAUUUCCCAAAUGUUGUAGAAUCUGACUGAAAACACACAGCAUUCGUGUAUUUGUACAAAACUCUGUUAUUAGAACUUAACUAGGGUUCCAAAUUAUUUUCCAUUUACUACUUAGUACACAUGUAAGUCAUAGAACAGG